CAGUAGCCGCCGGAAUACAGAGGGUGCGAGCGUUAAUCGGAUUUACUGGGCGUAAAGCGUGCGUAGGCGGCUUCUUAAGUCGGAUGUGAAAUCCCUGAGCUUAACUUAGGAAUUGCAUUCGAUACUGGGAAGCUAGAGUAUGGGAGAGGAUGGUAGAAUUCCAGGUGUAGCGGUGAAAUGCGUAGAGAUCUGGAGGAAUACCGAUGGCGAAGGCAGCCAUCUGGCCUAAUACUGACGCUGAGGUACGAAAGCAUGGGGAGCAAACAGGAUUAGAUACCCCAGUAGUCCCUGUCUCUUAUAC
rnacentral:rRNA from 1 species